UUUUUUAUUUUUUAUUUUUAGUAGAGAUGGGGUUUCGCCAUGUUGGCCAGACUGGUCUGGAACUCCUGGCCUCAAGUGGUCCUCCCACCUCGGCCUCUCAAAGUGCUGGGAUUACAGGCGUGAGCCACCACGUUUAGCUGAGUAUAAUUUUAAAUAGCCCUAUGUGACAAGUGGCUACUUUAUUGGACAGUGUAGAUCUAAGAUUAAUUCCUCAACUGUUUUGCACUCAACAAAGACAUACCUCUGAGUUGGCAACCAGCAGGGUGGAUAACGGGCCAGUGGUGAUAAAAUCAAAGAAUAGGUAAUGAAACAAUCAUCCAGUUAACAAUCAGCAAGGUUCUUCAGAGCCUAAUUAAUGUUUAAUUCUAAAUAAAUUGCAACAAUUAAGAAAA
rnacentral:lncRNA from 10 species